UCUGGCAGAGUGGUAUGGAAUGAACACACCAAAACAAUUCUGUGUGCAUUGUUAAAGGUUGGAUGGAGUGGUUGUGUUGCGAAUGGGGAGGGAUGUUCUGAUUUCUGGGACCUUGGCUAAAACAACCCAAGUCCCUUCUAUUUGGAAUCUCCACUUUAUCAAUCAGCUAUCCCAUCUUCUGACAUGUUGGGCAGUGAUGACCCUACUGAGGAAAGUGGAAAGAAUCUUCUAUGCCCAUCAAAUUCCAGCUGUGUGACUGCUGUCCCAUAAUCCCAUGAGUUGAAACCGCCUUCAGCCAGUCAGACUGCUCCCUAACUCCUGCCCGCUUGUUAUGUUUUUUAGGUUGUGCUUGGUGGGUUCAGUAAUUUUUUGUGUGUUUAAAUUAUCAGCAGAGAGGAAAAAGGUUUCUAGCAGCAGAACUUCCUGCUGUUUUCCAUCCUCUGUUUCCACACACACAUACACUUUCAAAUCUGGAAGAAAAAAUACAGUUGUUUGAAUAAUUCUGA